rnacentral:rRNA from 1 species
GACGAACGCUGGCGGCGUGCUUAACACAUACCAGUCGAACGGAAAGGCCCUGCUUUUGUGGGGUGCUCGAGUGGCGAACGGGUGAGUAACACGUGAGUAACCUGCCCUUGACUUUGGGAUAACUUCAGGAAGCUGGGGCUAAUACCGGAUAGGAGCUCCUGCUGCAUGGUGGGGGUUGGAAAGUUUCGGCGGUUGGGGAUGGACUCGCGGCUUAUCAGCUUGUUGGUGGGGUAGUGGCUUACCAAGGCUUUGACGGGUAGCCGGCCUGAGAGGGUGACCGGCCACAUUGGGACUGAGAUACGGCCCAGACUCCUACGGGAGGCAGCAGUGGGGAAUAUUGCACAAUGGGCGGAAGCCUGAUGCAGCAACGCCGCGUGCGGGAUGACGGCCUUCGGGUUGUAAACCGCUUUCGCCUGUGACGAAGCGUGAGUGACGGUAAUGGGUAAAGAAGCACCGGCUAACUACGUG